UCGCCAUACCGUAGAAAGAGAAUGACCGGAGAAGAGUUAAUACGACCGUCCCGACGACCAGAAAGGUGUAUAUGUAUAUGCAGAUGUCGCGGCUCAGCCAGCUAUCCCAGUCCAUGAGCCCUGCCUGUGAAACAAAAAGUUAACCCACGUGGAAAGGAAGUAGUCACCACCGCUCGCAAAAACCUGACUGAGGGAGAAGAGGAACAGUAUUGCCGAUAUGGCGCACCAGUUGCCAGCGGAAUUGAGGAACAACCGAUGAACUUACCUCCAGGGGCGCCUCCUGCUCUAUCAUGUCCCCCAUACCGAUCGAAUCUACCGAGGAGAUGCUGGAGUGCCGCGAAAUCAAUCGACUCAGCGGUCGUUGUUCGGGUUUAUUUUCCUCAGGCGGCUCGAGUACCUGGCCGAAGUCCAAUCCUAAUUUUUGAAGCUCUUGGUAUGUUCUGAAAGUAGAAACUUCCGAUAAGGUGAAUUAAAGUACAGAUUUCAGAUACCGCGCAAAACGCAGAAAUCGAUUAUAGUAUAAUUUCUGGCUAUUUCGAACCACCCUGUCAACUCGUGCAUGUAGUAUACAGUUACAGCUUUCUAAUAUAACUUUAGUUAUGCGUUACCCUUGUCCCCAUAUGGCUCCAUCUUUCAACACAAUUAUCUGAUCGACGUGUUUGAGAUACUGCAGCUGGUGGGUGACGAUAAUGCGAGUUUUUUCUUUCAAGUAUCCAUCCACGCACUCGUCGAACAUGUGCUUGCCGACGUGAGCGUCAACAGCACUCAACGGAUCGUCCAUCAGGAAAACCGUACCGCACCAGCGGCUUGAUUGUUCUGUCGAAAAGUAACGGGGAUCUAGUUUAGUCGAGAACUAUAAGCCGUCUUACCGCGCGCGUUGACCACCGGAUAAACUGACCCCCCUCUCGCCAACAACUGUUUUGUCGCCGUAGGGGAAGAGGGUAAAGUCCCGCUUGAGCUGGCACACCUUGACCACUUUGUCGUAUCGUCGCGGAUCCAUUUU